GAUGAACGCUAGCGGGAGGCUUAAUACAUGCAAGUCGAGCGGUAGAGCGAUUUCGGUUGCUCGAGAGCGGCGCACGGGUGAGUAACGCGUACGCAACUUACCUCCAAGCGGGGCAUAGCCCCGGGAAACUGGGAUUAACUACCCCAUAGUUUGCACUGGCUGCAUGGUCAGUGCAAUAAAGUUGAGGCGCUUGGAGAUAGGCGUGCGUCUGAUUAGGUAGUUGGUAGGGUAACGGCCUACCAAGCCGACGAUCAGGUAGGGGGCGUGAGAGCGUCGGCCCCCCACACGGGUACUGAGACACGGACCCGACUCCUACGGGAGGCAGCAGUAAGGAAUAUUGGACAAUGGACGAAAGUCUGAUCCAGCCAUCCCGCGUGCAGGAUGAAGGCCUUCGGUUGUAACUCUUUCGUGGGGAAGAGAAGGACGGUACCCGACGGAAUAAGUACUCGGCUAACUACGUGCCAG
rnacentral:rRNA from 1 species